GGGUUGUGAGGUUAAGCGACUAAGCGUACACGGUGGAUGCCCUGGCAGUCAGAGGCGAUGAAGGACGUGCUAAUCUGCGAUAAGCGUCGGUAAGGUGAUAUGAACCGUUAUAACCGGCGAUUUCCGAAUGGGGAAACCCAGUGUGUUUCGACACACUAUCAUUAACUGAAUCCAUAGGUUAAUGAGGCGAACCGGGGGAACUGAAACAUCUAAGUACCCCGAGGAAAAGAAAUCAACCGAGAUUCCCCCAGUAGCGGCGAGCGAACGGGGAGCAGCCCAGAGCCUGAAUCAGUGUGUGUGUUAGUGGAAGCGUCUGGAAAGGCGCGCGAUACAGGGUGACAGCCCCGUACACAAAAAUGCACAUGCUGUGAGCUCGAUGAGUAGGGCGGGACACGUGGUAUCCUGUCUGAAUAUGGGGGGACCAUCCUCCAAGGCUAAAUACUCCUGACUGACCGAUAGUGAACCAGUACCGUGAGGGAAAGGCGAAAAGAACCCCGGCGAGGGGAGUGAAAAAGAACCUGAAACCGUGUACGUACAAGCAGUGGGAGCACGCUUCGGCGUGUGACUGCGUACCUUUUGUAUAAUGGGUCAGCGACUUAUAUUCUGUAGCAAGGUUAACCGAAUAGGGGAGCCGAAGGGAAACCGAGUCUUAACUGGGCGUUAAGUUGCAGGGUAUAGACCCGAAACCCGGUGAUCUAGCCAUGGGCAGGUUGAAGGUUGGGUAACACUAACUGGAGGACCGAACCGACUAAUGUUGAAAAAUUAGCGGAUGACUUGUGGCUGGGGGUGAAAGGCCAAUCAAACCGGGAGAUAGCUGGUUCUCCCCGAAAGCUAUUUAGGUAGCGCCUCGUGAAUUCAUCUCCGGGGGUAGAGCACUGUUUCGGCAAGGGGGUCAUCCCGACUUACCAACCCGAUGCAAACUGCGAAUACCGGAGAAUGUUAUCACGGGAGACACACGGCGGGUGCUAACGUCCGUCGUGAAGAGGGAAACAACCCAGACCGCCAGCUAAGGUCCCAAAGUCAUGGUUAAGUGGGAAACGAUGUGGGAAGGCCCAGACAGCCAGGAUGUUGGCUUAGAAGCAGCCAUCAUUUAAAGAAAGCGUAAUAGCUCACUGGUCGAGUCGGCCUGCGCGGAAGAUGUAACGGGGCUAAACCAUGCACCGAAGCUGCGGCAGCGACGCUUAUGCGUUGUUGGGUAGGGGAGCGUUCUGUAAGCCUGUGAAGGUGUGCUGUGAGGCAUGCUGGAGGUAUCAGAAGUGCGAAUGCUGACAUAAGUAACGAUAAAGCGGGUGAAAAGCCCGCUCGCCGGAAGACCAAGGGUUCCUGUCCAACGUUAAUCGGGGCAGGGUGAGUCGACCCCUAAGGCGAGGCCGAAAGGCGUAGUCGAUGGGAAACAGGUUAAUAUUCCUGUACUUGGUGUUACUGCGAAGGGGGGACGGAGAAGGCUAUGUUGGCCGGGCGACGGUUGUCCCGGUUUAAGCGUGUAGGCUGGUUUUCCAGGCAAAUCCGGAAAAUCAAGGCUGAGGCGUGAUGACGAGGCACUACGGUGCUGAAGCAACAAAUGCCCUGCUUCCAGGAAAAGCCUCUAAGCAUCAGGUAACAUCAAAUCGUACCCCAAACCGACACAGGUGGUCAGGUAGAGAAUACCAAGGCGCUUGAGAGAACUCGGGUGAAGGAACUAGGCAAAAUGGUGCCGUAACUUCGGGAGAAGGCACGCUGAUAUGUAGGUGAAG
rnacentral:rRNA from 1 species